ensembl:lncRNA
UCAGAGAUGGAACAGGAACGCUUCUGAGCUGAUCUGAGCAGAUGUGUGAACAUGCAGAUGGCCUUCAAAGUUCAACUCAGAGUUUUUGUCAGUAAAGGAAAUCAAAGGGGCAUCUAAAAGAAUCUAGAAACCCAUAUUCGAAAACAGGGAGGAACUGAGACUAAGAAGAACUAAAUGUAAAGUUUGUAGUUUCGCUUCCAAUUAAUUUUUUAGCAUGAUGCUUUCUUUUUGAGAUAUAAUCAAAUUAGACACAGAGCAUAAAUUUAUAGUCUAAAUAAAACAUGCCGAUUUGCCAAAUAUCCAAUCAUUUGAGUACUAGAAUGGAUAGUCACUUGUUUGUAACUUUUAUUCAAUGUGUGAAUGCAAGAUGUUAUAUGUAAAUAACUGCUAUACAUUAUAUUAACAGCUCAAUUGCUGUGUUUCUGCAGAGAUGCUAUUAUCUGGUUGCUAUGGCUCCUUCAUCGCCGAUCCUGACUCCUGCUGUGUUGCCAUGGCAGUGCUUGAUUGGCGCACAGCUCUGGCAUUUGAGUUCACUCACAACAAGUCUUUGGAUGAAACGAGGGGUGUAGCCAUACAGUGUAUUCAUUAGCACUGGAGAGUUCGCUGCAGUCCCUGCGUGAGGAGUUACAGACAGAGGUUACUGAGAUGUUGGCUUGCUUCAGGAAACACAGCUGCACUGCCUCUGUGUCUCCAGGACAGUGUGUGUCUUUCAUUCUGUCAGCUGGUGUUGCCUCAGUUUCUGAAAGUCGUGCCUGUCUACAUUAACAGUCUGUGCAAAAGUGAAGUGCUGCUGCCUGAGCUGCGGAGCUCUGUACAUCAGCGUCUACGACUGCGUAACCUCCAUGGACUCCAUGGACACGCUGAGCACUGCUUCCCAGUUCUACCCACUUAAACUGCCUCUGUCUGUCUCGGCUGAUGAUGCCAACAUGCCAUCAUUAGGGGAAGCCAUGCGCUGCACUAUCUCUAGUGUGGAUCCAGGGGGUCUGUAUCUGAUCUACUGCCCACUGGCACUGAUCCUUUGGGUGGGCAGCUGUGUGCCUCCUCAUACUCUUCUACAGCUUUUCAACACCAACUGCUUCUACCUCACAUCUGGAGAGAUCAAACUUCCAGUGCUUGAGAACUCCCUCUCUAUCAGCACCAGAGCUCUCGUAUGCUCUCUGCAGUCCUCAGCAGCUGUUACUCUCCAGCUAAAACUGGUUUGAGAGGGUGACAGCUGUGAGGAGUCUCUGCAGCGCCUCCUGGUGGAGGACAAGAGUCCGUACGGUGGAGCUUCAUAUGCUGAUUUCCUUUUUCACCUUCAUGUCAAUGCAUUGCGUCUUACUGUGUGACAGUCUCUUCUCAUAGACAAGGCUGUAAAAUAUUUGUAAAGCCCUUUUUGUCUCCCUUCGUGUCUACCUUUUGCUCCCUCUAUAGCCAUUGCUGUCAUUCUAAAAUCAAUGAGGAAUAAGAAUUCUGUCUUGUAUGGAUUUACCAAACAAUUACCUCUGAAAUACUUAUAUUUUGCAAAUUUAGUAAAUACAAAUUUGAUGUGACCAGCUUAUUAUAGGAGAAAUGCUGAAUACUAAAAUUAGUCCUUUCAUUUUCAAGGGUCCAGAAUGACGAAUACUGUUUGAACUCCCAUCAAAGACUCAGUGAUUAAUGAUUCUGUAUUUGAAGUGUGUGUGUGUGUGUGUGUGUGUGUGUGUUUGGUUCUAGACAUGGGUUUGAUUUAACAUUUGCUCUUGAGUCAUGAAUAUUGCACUCUGAAUUGAUUUCAUGAAUUAGCCCAACUGACAGUGAUGAGUAAGAGUGUGCAUGUUAAUAUUUUUCAAGCAAUAAUAUAUUCAUUUUUUUUAAAUUACACAUCAAUAUUUAAUGUCUUGAUAAAACCACAGAUAUUUUUCAAUGAGCCACCAUCAUGUUAACCUAACACUUUACAGUUUUAAUCAUUUAUUUAUAUAUUUAUUUAUUUUAUGAAGAAUAUACGUUUCUCUCCAAAAAUGAAUAAAUAACUGAAAAUGUGUGACUGGCUCUGAAUC